rnacentral:rRNA from 1 species
UACGUAGGGGGCAAGCGUUGUCCGGAUUUAUUGGGCGUAAAGAGCGUGUAGGCGGCCAUGCAGGUCCGUUGUGAAAACUCGAGGCUCAACCUCGAGACGCCGAUGGAAACCCCCUGGCUAGAGUCCGGAAGAGGAGAAUGGAAUUCCUGGUGUAGCGGUGAAAUGCGCAGAUAUCAGGAAGAACACCCGUGGCUAAGGCGGUUCUCUAGUACGGUACUGACGCUGAGACGCGAAAGCGUGGGGAGCGAACAGG